rnacentral:rRNA from 1 species
UACGUAGGGCGCAAGCGUUGUCCGGAAUUAUUGGGCGUAAAGAGCUCGUAGGUGGCUUGUCACGUCGGGUGUGAAAGCUUGGGGCUUAACUCCAGGUCUGCAUUCGAUACGGGCUGGCUAGAGGUAGGUAGGGGAGAUCGGAAUUCCUGGUGUAGCGGUGAAAUGCGCAGAUAUCAGGAGGAACACCGGUGGCGAAGGCGGAUCUCUGGGCCAUUACUGACGCUGAGGAGCGAAAGCGUGGGGAGCGAACAGG